rnacentral:rRNA from 1 species
CCUGGCUCAGGAUGAACGCUAGCUACAGGCUUAACACAUGCAAGUCGAGGGGCAGCAUCAUCAAAGCUUGCUUUGAUGGAUGGCGACCGGCGCACGGGUGAGUAACACGUAUCCAACCUGCCGACAACACUGGGAUAGCCUUUCGAAAGAAAGAUUAAUACCGGAUGGCAUAAUUAUUCCGCAUGGGAUAAUUAUUAAAGAAUUUCGGUUGUCGAUGGGGAUGCGUUCCAUUAGGCAGUUGGCGGGGUAACGGCCCACCAAACCUACGAUGGAUAGGGGUUCUGAGAGGAAGGUCCCCCACAUUGGAACUGAGACACGGUCCAAACUCCUACGGGAGGCAGCAGUGAGGAAUAUUGGUCAAUGGACGAGAGUCUGAACCAGCCAAGUAGCGUGAAGGAUGACUGCCCUAUGGGUUGUAAACUUCUUUUAUACGGGAAUAAAGUGAGCCACGUGUGGCUUUUUGUAUGUACCGUAUGAAUAAGGAUCGGCUAACUCCGUGCCAGCAGCCGCGGUAAUACGGAGGAUUCGAGCGUUAUCCGGAUUUAUUGGGUUUAAAGGGAGCGUAGGCGGGUUGUUAAGUCAGUUGUGAAAGUUUGCGGCUCAACCGUAAAAUUGCAGUUGAUACUGGCGACCUUGAGUGCAACAGAGGUAGGCGGAAUUCGUGGUGUAGCGGUGAAAUGCUUAGAUAUCACGAAGAGCUCCGAUUGCGAAGGCAGCUUACUGGAUUGUAACUGACGCUGAUGCUCGAAAGUGUGGGUAUCAAACAGGAUUAGAUACCCUGGUAGUCCACACAGUAAACGAUGAAUACUCGCUGUUGGCGAUAUACAGUCAGCGGCCAAGCGAAAGCAUUAAGUAUUCCACCUGGGGAGUACGCCGGCAACGGUGAAACUCAAAGGAAUUGACGGGGGCCCGCACAAGCGGAGGAACAUGUGGUUUAAUUCGAUGAUACGCGAGGAACCUUACCCGGGCUUAAAUUGCAACUGACGGAACCGGAAACGGUUCUUUCUUCGGACAGUUGUGAAGGUGCUGCAUGGUUGUCGUCAGCUCGUGCCGUGAGGUGUCGGCUUAAGUGCCAUAACGAGCGCAACCCUUACGGGUAGUUACCAUCAGGUUAUGCUGGGGACUCUACCCGGACUGCCGUCGUAAGAUGUGAGGAAGGUGGGGAUGACGUCAAAUCAGCACGGCCCUUACGUCCGGGGCUACACACGUGUUACAAUGGGGGGUACAGAAGGCAGCUACACGGCGACGUGGUGCUAAUCCCAAAAGCCUCUCUCAGUUCGGAUUGGAGUCUGCAACCCGACUCCAUGAAGCUGGAUUCGCUAGUAAUCGCGCAUCAGCCACGGCGCGGUGAAUACGCUCCCAGGGGUUGUACACACCGCCCG